UCUUCCGUCGUGCGGGCGAUGGCGCCGCGGGCCAGGUUUGGGAUGGGAGGCCGGCCGUGUGGGUCAGCUACAGUAUGAGAUCCUAGAACAAAUGCUACCGUGGUUUCCGUCAGUGCCACCAAAGAAAGGAGAUUGAAGUACUUCAGUCCUUGCACCUGCUCCGAAAUGCAAGAUCUCACUAAGUCACCCAGGCUGGGCUCAUACUUGCAAUCUUCCUGCCUCAGUCUCCCGGAGUUGUGGGAUUACAGAUGAAUGCCACCACACCUGCGUGCAGAUAAAUUUAGUCCUGCAGCCACUGGGGAGAGUAGAACUAGCUACAUGAAUCCAUAUGAAGGAUUAGAGUACAGAAAGGUAACUAAGCAAAUAAAUAUAAGA